GACGAACGCUGGCGGCGUGCUUAACACAUGCAAGUCGAACGGGCCUGUCUUCUUUUUUGGGGGUGGGUUGAGUGGCGAACGGGUGAGUAUCACGUGAGUAACCUGCCCUUCGGUCCUGGAUAACCGCUUGAAAGGGCGGCUAAUACGGGGUGGUCCGGUUGGUCCGCAUGGGCUGGUCGGGAUAGAUUCACUGUUUUUGGUGUUUCGGCGGGGGAUGGGCUCGCGGCCUAUCAGCUUGUUGGUGGGGUGAUGGCCUACCAAGGCGGUGACGGGUAGCCGGCCUGAGAGGGUGGGCGGCCACACUGGGACUGAGAUACGGCCCAGACUCCUGCGGGAGGCAGCAGUGGGGGGUAUUGCACAAUGGGCGGAAGCCUGAUGCAGCGACAUCGCGUGAGGGAUGGAGGCCUUCGGGUUGUGAACCUCUGUUUCCGGUGGUGAAGGCCCUGUCCGUGUGGUGGGGUUGACGGUAGCCGGGGAUGAAGCGCCGGCUAACUACGUG
rnacentral:rRNA from 1 species